rnacentral:rRNA from 1 species
AACGCUAGCUACAGGCUUAACACAUGCAAGUCGCGGGGCAGCAUUUUCUUAGCUUGCUAAGGAAGAUGGCGACCGGCGCACGGGUGAGUAACGCGUAUCCAACCUUCCCAUGUCCACGGGAUAGCCCGUCGAAAGGCGGAUUAAUAUCGUAUGAGGUCACAUGCGGGCAUCUAAUUGUGACGAAAGGUUUGGCGGACAUGGAUGGGGAUGCGUCCGAUUAGCUUGUUGGCGGGGUAACGGCCCACCAAGGCGACGAUCGGUAGGGGUUCUGAGAGGAAGGUCCCCCACAUUGGAACUGAGACACGGUCCAAACUCCUACGGGAGGCAGCAGUGAGGAAUAUUGGUCAAUGGACGUAAGUCUGAACCAGCCAAGUAGCGUGCAGGAUGACGGCCCUAUGGGUUGUAAACUGCUUUUAUAAGGGAAUAAAGUGAGUCUCGUGAGACUUUUUGCAUGUACCUUAUGAAUAAGGACCGGCUAAUUCCGUGCCAGCAGCCGCGGUAAUACGGAAGGUCCGGGCGUUAUCCGGAUUUAUUGGGUUUAAAGGGAGCGUAGGCCGUCGUUUAAGCGUGUUGUGAAAUGCCGCGGCUCAACCGUAGCACUGCAGCGCGAACAGGAUGACUUGAGUUCGCGGGAGGUAGGCGGAAUUCGUGGUGUAGCGGUGAAAUGCUUAGAUAUCACGAAGAACUCCGAUUG